rnacentral:rRNA from 1 species
UACGGAGGGUGCAAGCGUUGUUCGGAAUCACUGGGCGUAAAGGGCGCGCAGGCGGCCUGAUCAGUCAGAUGUGAAAGCCCACGGCUUAACCGUGGAAGUGCAUUUGAAACUGUCAGGCUUGAGUACCAGAGGGGAAAGUGGAAUUCCCGGUGUAGAGGUGAAAUUCGUAGAUAUCGGGAGGAAUACCGGUGGCGAAGGCGACUUUCUGGCUGGAUACUGACGCUGAGGCGCGAAAGCGUGGGGAGGCAAACAGGAUUAGAUACCCUGGUA